AUAUUAGUGAGUUUUCAGUUCCAGUGAAAAGUUGAAUCUGAAUGCCCAUGGGUUCAGUCAGGAGUCACAGGAUGAUGCAUCUGGCCCUUGAUUAUGUUAUUUAGUGAACUUCAGGUUCAGAGUUACUGUGAGGUGUCCUGUGUUUUCAGGCCUCUGUUUUGAAUGCUGUGCAGGGCUGUUAUUGUGCCCAUAGACUUUGCUUUCUUUAUACCCUGUACAAGUGUGACACCUCAUUCUGAGGAUACAGUUAACUUACUGCAAGCCCUGUCUCAGACCUAAUCAAUAUCAUUACCUCAAGUAGUUUGCAAGAUGACAUUUUGAGGCUGUAAUAUAGGAAUAUACACUUGCUGGUUUUCCUUACUAUUGUCACGUGUAAGCAGAUAAUGCUCUGUCUGGUUACUUAGCAGCCAGCUGUGUAUUACGUUCUCGUAGGGACAUUUCUAAAAGCUUCCUUUAGAUGACUUGGGAAAGGGUAAGACUAAAGACAAAGCACAGCCUGAAGCUCCAGCUGCUGACUGGAGCACGAAGGGAGAAUAACAGCUAAGAAAUAUGAGGUCUUUGGCCCCUUUCCCAGAAUCGCCAGGCUAAGACCUUGGCAGAGACUCAACAGGAAACUGAACUCUAUUUGCAUAUCCUUUUAUACAUGGGAGAUUAAAAGCUUCAACCUUGAAUGAUCACAGUUUCUGAGAAUCAUGACAAGGCAUUAAAGAAGAGGUGGAGUGUCCCGAGGGAGGUGAGCAGGAGGCCGUGCAAGGAAAUGAGGACGGCUACUCACAGGAGGUAACAGCCGGAAGAGACCUCGGCUGUAUCAGGCUCACCUUCUUCAUCUUACAAAUGAGUGUGAGAGGAGAAGAAAUGGGUUCAAGCUCUCACAGGAUAGGUGCAGAAAUUGACCAGGAAUGCAUGCCUAUGGAAGACCGACCAGUGCUGAGCAGAAUGAACCAUCACUAUUAAAAUAUAAAGACACUUUUAAUAAUCUGGCUUUUUCUUUGCAACAUCGUCAUAUUGGUAGUGUGCUGGCUAGUUUUAUGCUGACUUGACACUAACUAGAGUCAGAUGGAAGGAGGGAACCUCAAUUGAGAAAAUGCCUCCGUAAGGUCUGGAUGUAGGGCAUUUUCUUAAUUAGUGAUUGAUGAGGGAGGGCCCAGCCCAUAUGGAUGAUGCCAUCCUUGGGCUUGUGGUCCUGGGUUCUAUAAGAAAGCAGGCUGAGCAAGCCAUGAAGAGCCAGCCAGUAAGCAGCGCUCCGCCACGGCCUCUGCAUCAGCUCCUUCCUCCAGGUUCUCCCCCUGUUUGAGUUCCUGUCCUGACUUCCUUCAAUGAUGAAGAGUG